AUUGAACGCUGGCGGCAGGCCUAACACAUGCAAGUCGAGCGAGCGGCGGACGGGUGAGUAAUGUAUGGGGACUGCCCGAUAGAGGGGGAUAACUACUGGAAACGGUAGCUAAUACCGCAUACUAUCGGAUAACCCAUAUGGGAUUAGCUAGUAGGUGAGGUAAUGGCUCACCUAGGCGACGAUCCCUAGCUGGUCUGAGAGGAUGAUCAGCCACACUGGGACUGAAACCCGGCCCAGACGCCAGCGGAGGCGGCAGUGGGGAAUAUUGCACAAUGGGCGCAAUCCUAAUGCAGCCAUGCCGCGGAUAUGAAGAAGUCCCUAGGGUUGUAAAGUACUUUCAGUCGGGAGGCGUUACCGACAGAAGAAGCACCGGCUAACUCCGUGCCAGCAGCCGCGGUAAUUG
rnacentral:rRNA from 1 species